ACUUCUGCAUGGUGGCAGUGUAGUAGCUAAUGGUGUUUAUCAGAAGCACUAUUACUGCUAAUUGAAAAUUACAGUGACGUGAGUCCUUUCCAUGUCCUUCUGUCCCAGUCUUGCACCACUAGGCUGACUUACCUUCGAAAUUACAUGGAGAGCUUUGCCUCCAAGUGCAAAGC
ensembl:snRNA U4 U4 spliceosomal RNA